rnacentral:misc_RNA from 1 species
AGAUUACAGACGCGCACGCACGCCACCGCAUCACCACCCACGCGCACUUAUGCACUCGUCUGCCGUCCUUCGCCUUCUUCUUCCCUCACGGAUUUGCGUCAGCGCCGCCCGUCUGCGGUGCCUCUCAAGCCGAUGGUGCAGAGGAGCGCACUUCUGCAGCUGGCGUGUCUUGUAGCAGUGCUGCACUCCAGCUGCCUGAGCGCUCUACUGAGCUCGACUAUAGCCGCUGCUGCUCCUGCAGCUGCGCGCGAUACCGCCAUUAGCAGCAGGCACAACACCCCGAUAACAGCGGCUUCUCCUUCCCCGCUCUUUACUGUCUUCGGGUACUUGCCCGAGUACCGUCGGGGCACGUUCAACUACGAGGCCUUCUUCAAAGCAGGGUUAACGCAUCUUAUCUUUUUCAGUGCCGAGGUGGACCCCGCAACGUUGCGUCUCAUCCACGUAGAGGACCGACUGCCAUCGGGCGACGAGUGGGCCCGCAUCCGCCGGCUGGCAGACCUGCACGGUGUGAAACUGAUGCUCUGCAUCGGCGGUGGUGGCCGCAGCGCCGGGUUUGCGGACCUCGUUGGGGACACGGUGCAGCGACAAGCGUUCAUAGAGGAGGUGAACGCGGUGCUGCUGGCGCGAAAACUCGACGGCAUAGACUUCAACUGGGAGUACCCGCAAACAAUGACGGAGUGGCUGAACUUUGGCCGCUUCCUGAUGGAGCUCCGGUCUUCCCUGGGCUAUGCGGCUGCUGCAGGCGGCGAACACGCAGCUGGACCGAUUGGUGAGCGGCGCCACCGCACCCGAGUCCGGGGCGCUGCCUUGUCCAUGGCCCUCCAUCCCCACCCAUCUAUGGCAGCCGUACUGCAGUCCGCUCGUGUGCUUCACUCGCUCGACUAUGUACACUUGAUGGCGUACGACCACGUUGUCGGGACCGGACCACACAGCUCGGUCGAGUACGCUGCCUCGGUGCUCAGCGAGGAGACAAUCGGGCUCUUUAACGAGGCUGCAUACAACAGGCGCCUUGGGCAGAUGCACCGGCGGCCGCGCACCGAGCAGGACCACCGCCGCAAGCUCACUCUUGGUAUCCCCUUCUACGGCCGUCAUCGAGAGGACAGGCGACUGCAGCCUGAGGCGUACGACCGCCUCUGGCUCUUCAUCCAAGAAUGGGCUAGCAAGAACCACCCAACAUGGGUCGAGGGAGGAGCGGAGCUGCGGGCAUUGAGCGAGUAUGACGGGUACAGUUUCACCGGCUACGACGAUGUGAAGCGCAAGAUGCAACUGACACGCGCUGCUAACUUGUCUGGGAUAAUGAUCUGGGAGCUGGGCCAGGAUGUGCCACCGGGGACUUCGCCGAUGUCGCUCAUGACUGCCGUUCACGAGCAGCUGGCCGACUGGGGUUUGCUGACUGACGGCGGGCGUGGUAGUGGUGGCAACGUGAAUAGCGAUAAUGCAUACGAUCGUCCGCAACCACCGCCGCAGCAUUCAUCUCCAGAUGUGGCUGAGGACGGCGAUCUAUGAAAGCCAGAGGGACACAAGCGUGUCCUGCAUCCCAUAGCACACGCAGGCAACGCCGUGCUUCAACGCUUUUCUGCUGUUGCAUCAGCGCCUCUCACACUACACACACACACUACACACACACACACACACACACACACACACACAAACACAAACACAAACACAAGUGAGCCCAUCGCCAGCGGUCCCGAGUGCAUAUUACCUGAGAAG